rnacentral:rRNA from 1 species
AGUGAACGCUGGCGGUAGGCCUAACACAUGCAAGUCGAACGGCAGCACAGGAGAGCUUGCUCUCUGGGUGGCGAGUGGCGGACGGGUGAGGAAUACAUCGGAAUCUACCUUUUCGUGGGGGAUAACGUAGGGAAACUUACGCUAAUACCGCAUACGACCUACGGGUGAAAGUGGGGACGGCAAGGCCUCACGCGAUUAGAUGAGCCGAUGUCCGAUUAGCUAGUUGGCGGGGUAAUGGCCCACCAAGGCGACGAUCGGUAGCUGGUCUGAGAGGAUGAUCAGCCACACUGGAACUGAGACACGGUCCAGACUCCUACGGGAGGCAGCAGUGGGGAAUAUUGGACAAUGGGCGCAAGCCUGAUCCAGCCAUACCGCGUGGGUGAAGAAGGCCUCGGUUGUAAGCC